UGGUGGAGUGAUUUGUCUGGUUAAUUCCGUUAACGAACGAGACCUUAACCUAUUAAAUAGUUACACGAACCUGGAUUUAUCCAUUUGUUCGUGGAUAACUUCUUAGAGGGACUCUUCACGUAAAGAGUGAAUGGAAGUUUGAGGCAAAAACAA
rnacentral:rRNA from 1 species